rnacentral:ncRNA from 13 species
UUGUAGUAUGAAAGGAGAGACGUUUAACAUUCCCGUAGACAAGGGGAACACAUAUAAAUGGUAUCAUUGGCGAAUAAUCUUU